CCCUUAGAUGUUCUGGGCCGCACGCGCGCUACACUGACGAAGUCAGCGAGCAUGUCCUACGCCGACAGGUGCGGGGAAUCUUGUCAAACUUCGUCGUGAUGGGGAUUGAUUAUUGAAAUUCUUGAUCAUCAACGAGGAAUUCCUAGUAAGCGCAAGUAAGCAGCUUGCGUUGAUUACGUCCCUGCCCUUUGUACACACCGCCCGUCGCUACUACCGAUUGAAUGGUUUAGUGAGAUCUUCGGAUUGGCGCCACUGCGGCUCAGCAAUGGGCUCGGUGGAUGCCGAAAAGUUGAUCAAACUUGAUCAUUUAGAGGAAGUAAAAGUCGUAACA
rnacentral:rRNA from 1 species